UGGGGAAUUUUGGACAAUGGGCGAAAGCCUGAUCCAGCAAUGCCGCGUGUGUGAAGAAGGCCUUCGGGUUGUAAAGCACUUUUGUCCGGAAAGAAAUCCUUGGCUCUAAUACAGUCGGGGGAUGACGGUACCGGAAGAAUAAGCACCGGCUAACUACGUGCCAGCAGCCGCGGUAAUACGUAGGGUGCAAGCGUUAAUCGGAAUUACUGGGCGUAAAGCGUGUGCAGGCGGUUUGCUAAGACCGAUGUGAAAUCCCCGGGCUCAACCUGGGAACUGCAUUGGUGACUGGCAGGCUAGAGUAUGGCAGAGGGGGGUAGAAUUCCACGUGUAGCAGUGAAAUGCGUAGAGAUGUGGAGGAAUACCGAUGGCGAAGGCAGCCCCCUGGGCCAAUACUGACGCUCAUGCACGAAAGCGUGGGGAGCAAACAGGAUUAGAUACCCUGGUAGUCCACGCCCUAAACGAUGUCAACUAGUUGUUGGGGAUUCAUUUCCUUAGUAACGUAGCUAACGCGUGAAGUUGACCGCCUGGGGAGUACGGUCGCAAGAUU
rnacentral:rRNA from 1 species